GCUCUUUAGCGUAAUUUGGAUUAGAUUUCAUUAAUUUAAUCUAGUUUGGCGGUGCGCCAAACUCUAACUUAUUGAGUGAU
rnacentral:sRNA from 1 species